UACAGAGGUCUCAAGCGUUGUUCGGAUUCAUUGGGCGUAAAGGGUGCGUAGGCGGCGCGGUAAGUCGGGUGUGAAAUCUCGGAGCUUAACUCCGAAACUGCAUUCGAUACUGCCGUGCUUGAGGACUGGAGAGGAGACUGGAAUUUACGGUGUAGCGGUGAAAUGCGUAGAUAUCAAGUGGAACACCAGUGGCGAAGGCGAGUCCCUGGACAACUCCUGACACUGAGGCACGAAAGCUAGGGGAGCAAACAGG
rnacentral:rRNA from 1 species